AGUAUGACUGAGAUAGGUCCCUCCCUUUUGAUCUUUUUCUUUUAGUGUGUGGUAUGUUUUAGGAGUUUGGUUCUUCAUACCAUAUCUCUAACAUGCAUUAACACCUAAAUUUUUAUUGUCCAGCCUCAGAUAGUUGUGACUUCUACAUAAGUCCACUUACGAUUGCUUAACAUAGAGCUAAAUUUGACCCUUAAGGCAUAUCAUUCUAGUAAGUGAGAUUGUAAGUCUCCCAUUCUUCAUGGCAUUAUAUGGAGACUUAAGCUUUUUU
rnacentral:lncRNA from 1 species